rnacentral:lncRNA from 1 species
UCUCACUCUGUCACCAGACUGCAGUGCAGUGGCGCAAUCUUGAUUCACUGCAACCUCUGCCUCCCAGGUACAAGUGAUUCUCCUGCCUCAGCCUCCUGAGUAGCUGGGACUACAGGCGCACGCCACCACACCCAGCUAAGUUUUGUAUUUUUAGUAGAGAUGGGGUUUCACAUGUUGGUGAUGGUCUCGAUCUCUUGACCUCAUGAUCUGCCUACCUUGGCCUCCCAAAGUGCUGGGAUUACAGGCGUGCGCCACUGCACCUGGCCGAACUCAGCUUUUCUUACUCCAAGUCAGUGAUCCUUCCCGGCCUGCCAUCCUUUCCUCUUUCAUUAUUUCACAUCUCUCCCUUUGGCUGGUUCCUGAGUUGAGUCCAUGAAAAAAAAACCUCUACCUAACAAAACCUCCUUUAGACGUCCUUCACUUCCAGGAUCCAGUCCAAACUCCUGGGCUUGGCACAUGAACCCUCCAUCAUCUGGCACCUGGCAGCCCACAUGCUGGAGCCUCACGGAUUUGCUCAUCGCCCUCUGAACACCUGUGGCCUUCUCACUCCUCUGUGUCUUUGCACAUCCUUUCCCCAACCUCAUGCCAGGCCAUUGCAUUGUGAUCCAGGCUCAGUCUUCGUUCUGCUUCGUGGCAUCACAGUCCCUUAUUUGAAACUGAACCAGGACUGCAGUCUUCGACUUUGACAUCAAAUUUGACACCUCAGUGGCCCAGUACGUGUUGCUUUCCUUACUGAGCCUCAGCUUUCUCAUUUGUAAAGUGGGAAUAAUAGGCCAGGUGUAGUGGCACACACCUGUAAUCCUGGCACUUUGGGAGGUCGAGGCAGGCUAAUCACUUGAGCUCAGGAGCUUGAGACUGGCCUGGGUAACAUGGCAAACACCAUCUCUACAAAAAAAUACAAAAAUUAGCUGGGCAUGGUGGAGCAUGCCUGUACUCCCAGCUACUUGGGAGGCUGAGGUGGGAGAAUCACCUGA